CAGUUCCCAGACCCUCCCCCGCGCUGUGUGCCUGGCGUCCUCGGACCCAGCCAUGUCGUGGGCACCUGGGGCACCAGCUGACCUGCCUGUCGGGGGAGGCAGGUCUGAGCCCCAGGUGGUCCCGGUGGGCUGUUGCCUGCCAUGGAGAAGGGGCUGGGGCUUGCACUCAGCCACUCACCGGGGCCAUGCACGUCUCCUGCCCUUUCUCCACACCUGCGUCCCCUACAGACUCCUGCUGCCGUGUAAUGGACAGUGGGACCCUCUGGUGAGGUGUCCCCCUCCUGCUUCGGGCUGCGGCCACCAUGUCUCAGGUUUCCUGGAUGAACUCAUUAAAAUGAAGCAUAGAGCA
ensembl:lncRNA novel transcript